UCAUCGAGAAUCGAAUAAUUAAAGGAUUAGUGGACUAAAUUGGACGAAAGAAAAGUUAGAAGUUAGAGGUUGAGGAGGUGGCAAACUCAAGGACUAAAGGAGACUUUUGUCUCAUUUAUCUAAGCCACUUGCAUAUGAGUUUAAACUCAGCAAGCUUAUCAUUUUCAGCUCCCAAAUUUCGUACUCCAUCCUUUCUCCAUGGAAGAUCAUCAACCAAAUUUCAAAGGAGCAUAACUUCUUCGUUUCUCAACGAAAUUGGACGAUUCUUGUGGCCACGGAACGAGAAGAAGGAGAGCUACUGAUCUAGCCCUAUUGUUCAAGACUCGACGAAGCGACUAUCGACAAGGCUUGAGGGGAACGGAUCGAGAUGUCUUCGUGUUUAUUUAAAGAUUAUGGAUAGCAAGUGGGAUGGUAUGAUAUGAUUUGAAGAGUUAAGCUUCCGAAGUUUUAAUUCUCGGAAGUCAUUUGUAUAAGAAGAAAAAGAAGGUUUUCAUUCUAGCAGUCCGCAGUAGUCUAGAUAUUUUAACUAGAAUUUUGUAUAACGCGUUUUUAACUCUGAUAUUAUUUGUAAAUGGGGUCACAUGUAUUUUAAUAUAUGAAAUAUGUUUUGA